rnacentral:rRNA from 1 species
CUACGGGUCGCUCCAGUGAGGAAUAUUGCACAAUGGGGGGAACCCUGAUGCAGCAACGCCGCGUGGAGGAUGACGCAUUUCGGUGUGUAAACUCCUUUUAUAUGUCAAGAAAAUGACGGUAGCAUAUGAAUAAGCACCGGCUAACUCCGUGCCAGCAGCCGCGGUAAUACGGCAGGGUGCAAGCGUUACUCGGAAUCACUGGGCGUAAAGGACGCGUAGGCGGGGUGGAAAGUCAGGUGUGAAAUCCUACAGCUUAACUGUAGAACUGCACUUGAAACUUCUAAUCUAGAGUAUGGGAGGGGGAGAUGGAAUUAGUGGUGUAGGGGUAAAAUCCGUAGAUAUCACUAGGAAUACCUAAAGCGAAGGCGAUCUCCUGGAACAUUACUGACGCUAAGGCGUGAAAGCGUGGGGAGCAAACAGGAUUAGAUACCCUUGUAGUC